GGAUGCAUAUAUAAGAGACGGAAGCCAGAAUACUGCCGGGUGACGCACACUGCGAGACGACCGAAUCCGGAACCUUCUUUCAGCUCAAGGCUUCCGAGCACCACCUUUGACCUCGCCAUGAUAAAGUCCCUGCUGGUCGCCUUUGUGGUAGUGGCUGUUCUUUGCAGCCGGGCAUUUGCGCAGCUUGGUCUCUUCGGCGGCAUUGGACGCAACUUUGGUCCAGGCUUCGGGUACGGUGGAUUUGGCCGCUACGCAGGUUAUGGCCUCUAUGGUGGAUACCCUGGCUUUGGACUCUACCGGGGCUACGGAGGUUACGGACCUGGCAUUGGUUUCUUGGGUUGAGCGCAACGCGCUGACUUACCCACUCAGAUGUGAAAACGCUCACUGCGCUUGCGAUCGCUGCCUUCGUGAUUAAAUACAUUUUCGGAAUAAUA